rnacentral:lncRNA from 1 species
AUUAUGGGAUGGAGCACAAUGGGGUGGGAUAUUAUGGGAUGGAGCACUAUGGGGUGGGAUAUUAUGGGAUGGAGCACUAUGGGGUGGGAUAGUAUGGGAUGGAGCACUAUGGGAUGGGCAUUAUGGGAUGGGGAUGAUGGGGUGGGAUGUUAUGGGAUGGAGCACUGUGGGGCGGGAUAUUAUGGGAUGGAGCACUAUGGGAUGGGGAUGAUGGGGUGGGAUAUUAUGGGAUGGAGCACGGUGGGGUGGGAUAUUAUGGGAUGGAGCACGAUGGGAUGGGGAUGAAGGGAUGGGGAUGAUGGGGUGGGGUAUUAUUAUGGGAUGGAGCACUAUGGGAUGGGGAUGAUGGGGUGGGAUAUUACGGGAUGGAGCACGGUGGGGUGGGAUCGGAAGGGGUGGGGUAUUAUGGGAUGGAGCAUGAUGGGGUGGGAUAUUAUGGGAUGGGGAUGACGGGGCGGGAUAUUAUGGGAUGGAGCACUAUGGGGUGGGAUAUUAUGGGAUGGAGCACAAUGGGGUGGGAUAUUAUGGGAUGGAGCACUAUGGGAUGGGGAUGAUGGGGUGGGAUAUUAUGGGAUGGAGCACGAUGGGGUGGGAUAUUAUGGGAUGGAGCACGGUGGGAUGGGGAGGAUGGGGUGGGGUAUUAUUAUGGGAUGGAGCAUGUUGGGGUGGGAUCGGACGGGGCGGGGUAUUAUGGGGUGGCCGCCAGCGCGCUGUGUCUGUGCAGGGGCGCGGUGCUGGGGGGGCUGAGCCCCGCCCUCAUGGCCCCCCGCCCCAUGGCCGCCAUCCAAGGUUGGUGGGGGCGGGGCGAGCGCACGCGCGUGUGCAAAAGGGGAGGGAGCGUGGAGCCCG